UUGCCUAAUACAUCGUACCCAAUCCGAUAGUCAUUCGGCAGGCGCGGGAGCAAAAAAUCACUCGAUAACAUCAAACAGUACUACGUCAAGUUCCGCAACCAGGACGAGAAAUUGUGUGAUUACCGUCGGACAAGCGAUCAUUUUCUGUCAUAUGAUGUAUAGGACAGUUGUAAACGUCCAAGUAAACUUAUUUUCAGAACUGUUAAUCGAUCGAAACAGGUACGAAAAACGGCCGGUUGGUUGACCUGCAGGAUGUCCCAGGAUGGUCACUCGGUAGCGGUACUGUCCGGUAAUCUAACGGUGGAGCAACGGUUGGAACGAACGUUUUGUCCAGGGGUAAGUUCCACCACUUGAUUCUGGCUACAGCACCAGGUUACGGAGAGAUUCUUUCGUCUUAGGUAUCGACGUCGAACAGGUGACCAUUGUCGUCAACUUCGACCUGCCGAUGGAUUAGCAGGGACGAGCCGAUUGCGAAACGUAUCUACAUCGAAUUAGACGCACCGGUAGAUUCGAACGGAAUCACCAUCAACCUAGUGGGCAGUGAUCGAAACAUGAUGAUUUGCAGAUCAAUCAAAAAACACUUCCGGAAAAAGAUUCAGUUGCUAGACGCGGAGAACUCGGACGAAAUUGAAAAGAUCGCACCGUAAAGUGUUUUCGACCAGCUACUGGUCAUACUUGUUUUGAUUCUGAAUUUAUAAUUUUAUAUUUUUUUAAUUUACAAAUGUAACCAACAGGGUAUCGCAAGCUAAUAAAUUUACAAUUACAAUUACAAUCUCUA